rnacentral:rRNA from 1 species
AGAGUUUGAUCAUGGCUCAGAUUGAACGCUGGCGGCAGGCCUAACACAUGCAAGUCGAGCGGAUGAAGGGAGCUUGCUCCUGGAUUCAGCGGCGGACGGGUGAGUAAUGCCUAGGAAUCUGCCUGGUAGUGGGGGAUAACGUCCGGAAACGGGCGCUAAUACCGCAUACGUCCUGAGGGAGAAAGUGGGGGAUCUUCGGACCUCACGCUAUCAGAUGAGCCUAGGUCGGAUUAGCUAGUUGGUGGGGUAAAGGCCUACCAAGGCGACGAUCCGUAACUGGUCUGAGAGGAUGAUCAGUCACACUGGAACUGAGACACGGUCCAGACUCCUACGGGAGGCAGCAGUGGGGAAUAUUGGACAAUGGGCGAAAGCCUGAUCCAGCCAUGCCGCGUGUGUGAAGAAGGUCUUCGGAUUGUAAAGCACUUUAAGUUGGGAGGAAGGGCAGUAAGUUAAUACCUUGCUGUUUUGACGUUACCAACAGAAUAAGCACCGGCUAACUUCGUGCCAGCAGCCGCGGUAAUACGAAGGGUGCAAGCGUUAAUCGGAAUUACUGGGCGUAAAGCGCGCGUAGGUGGUUCAGCAAGUUGGAUGUGAAAUCCCCGGGCUCAACCUGGGAACUGCAUCCAAAACUACUGAGCUAGAGUACGGUAGAGGGUGGUGGAAUUUCCUGUGUAGCGGUGAAAUGCGUAGAUAUAGGAAGGAACACCAGUGGCGAAGGCGACCACCUGGACUGAUACUGACACUGAGGUGCGAAAGCGUGGGGAGCAAACAGGAUUAGAUACCCUGGUAGUCCACGCCGUAAACGAUGUCGACUAGCCGUUGGGAUCCUUGAGAUCUUAGUGGCGCAGCUAACGCGAUAAGUCGACCGCCUGGGGAGUACGGCCGCAAGGUUAAAACUCAAAUGAAU